rnacentral:rRNA from 1 species
UGAGGAACAUGACCUUCGGCGGGGGAUAGCCGGCCCAACGGCCGGGUAAUACCGCGUACGACCUUCCGGGGACAUCCCUGGAUGGUGAAAGCAGCAAUGCGCCGAUGGAGUGCCUCGCGGCCUAUCAGCUAGUUGGUGAGGUAACGGCUCACCAAGGCGACGACGGGUAGCUGGUCUGAGAGGAUGGCCAGCCACAGUUGGGACUGAGACCACGGCCCAGACCUCCGUACGGGAGCAG